rnacentral:misc_RNA from 1 species
AACGCAUAUUGCGCCUUCUGGUAUUCCGGAAGGCAUGCUUGUUUGAGUAUCAGUAACAACCUCAACUCCUUUUCAAUCGUGUUAUGCGUGAGGGAAGGUGUUGGAUUUGAGCAUAUCCACCGGGCCAUAUUGGCUUGAGGGAUGCUUGAAAUGGAGGUUCGGCCGACAGUGCCUGGGCUACAAGCAUUUCAUACUUAAUCCCGUUAAACGGAUUAUAUCCUUUGCUGCAGCCAACAUACAGGGUAACUGUCAGUGUUCCGACUGAUGCAGGAAAGUUGAGAUGGGUUCUUCGGAUCCUAGCUCUUCUAAACUCGAUCUCAAAUCAAGUAAGACUACCCGCUGAACUUAA